UACGAAGGGUGCAAGCGUUACUCGGAAUUACUGGGCGUAAAGCGUGCGUAGGUGGUUCGUUAAGUCUGAUGUGAAAGCCCUGGGCUCAACCUGGGAAUGGCAUUGGAAACUGGCGACCUAGAGUGCGGUAGAGGGUAGUGGAAUUCCCGGUGUAGCAGUGAAAUGCGCAGAUAUCAGGAGGAACACCAAUGGCGAAGGCAGCUCACUGGGACGGUAUUGACGCUGAGACGCGAAAGCGUGGGGAGCAAACAGG
rnacentral:rRNA from 1 species